rnacentral:rRNA from 1 species
GAACGACGCUGGCGGCGGGCCUCAUACAUGCAAGUCGAGCGCGAAAGUCCGCAAGGAUGAGUAAAGCGGCGCACGGGUGAGUAACACGUGGGUAAUCUACCUUUUGGAUUGGAAUAACCUGUCGAAAGACGGGCUAAUGCCGAGUAAGCCUUCUUGAACGUGAAGUUCGAGACGGGAAAGAUGGCGCAAGCUAUCGCCGAAAGAUGAGCCUGCGUCCCAUUAGUUAGUUGGUGGGGUAAUGGCUUACCAAGACAAUGAUGGGUACCUGGUUUUGAGAGAAUGAUCAGGCACACUGGAACUGAAACACGGUCCAGACUCCUACGGGAGGCAGCAGUAGGGAAUAUUGCGCAAUGGACGAAAGUCUGACGCAGCCACGCCGCGUGAGUGAGGAAGGCCUUCGGGUUGUAAAGCUCUGUCGGCUGGGAAAAACGGCUAUCCGGGGAAAGUUCGGGUAGCGUGAUGGUACCAGCAAAGGAAGCACCGGCAAACUCUGUG